CUGGUAUAUAAAGUCCCGCUGGCCAGUCGCGCUCCCCACCUUGCCUGCGCCCUCCUGCAAGCCAGCGGUUCUUCACACACUCGCCAUCCAGUGAGACGCGCCGCGCACCGACGGAGCGGACAUGGGCAGAGCGAUGGUAGCCAGGCUCGGACUGGGGCUGCUGCUUCUGGCGCUGCUCUUACCCACGCAGAUUUAUUCAAACCAAACAACUGCUGUAACAGUUUCAAGUAACUCCACCCAAAAUACCUCGACUACCCCAAGUCCAGCGAAUGCCACCACCAAGGCAAGUGGAGGUGCUCUUCAGUCAACAGCCAGUCUCUUUAUGAUCUCGGUCUCUCUUCUACAUCUCUACUGUUAAGAGACUCAGGCCAAGAAGCGUCUAUACUUCCCUAUCUUCUAAACCGAAUCCAAAUGGCGUCUAGACAUCCAAUGUGACAAGGAAAAAACAGGUCUUCGUUGAAUCUGCUAAUUCCACACCUUAUUUUAUUGACACAGAAAACGUUGAGGAUCCCAAAUUUGAUUGGUUUGAAGAGCAUGGGCAGGGUUUGACUAGAUGAUGAAUGCCAAUAUUAAAUCUGCUGGAGUUUCAUAUACAAGAUGAAGAGAGACAUAUCCAAAAUCAGUUAAGAGAUGAUUUCCUUAAAUGUGGCUUAAGAAGUAUGGACUCAAAACUUUACCUUGAAAAUGAAUAGCUUUUAUCUUAUCUAGAGAUAAAGGAUGGGAUUCGGAACAGAUUCAGUUUUCAUUUGGUUCAUUUAAAGCUAUAAGGCCAUAAAACAGGUAGUUUAAAAAGCUUCCAUGAUUCUAUUGAUCUGUACUUUAGAAGGAACUUCCAGAUCUUCCUAUAAAUCCUCUGUAUUGUUUUAUAGUACUAAUUUAAAGCCGAUGUCACUCUAGAAAAAGUUUUACAUUGUUAAGCUAUCACUGUUCUCUUGGGAACUGAAUUCUUUCUUUCGAGGCUUUGGAUUUGACAUUGCAUUUGACUUUUUAUAUAGUAAUUGACAUGUGCCAGGGCAAUGAUGGAUUGGAAUCUACCCCAAAUCCAAGCAUAAUGAGUAAAUUUUGCUUAUAUACUUACCACCUAUCCUUACUCAAGAGUGCCAGAUUCAUUUAGCUAAACUAAUUCCAAGGAAGUAGAAGUACACUGACCUCAAUUUCAGAAUGCUUUUUAUUUCUGCAUACGUUGAAUACUUUUUACAAUUUUAAAAAUGGUAUAUUUUGAAGGCAAAAUUGGCCAUCUUAAAAUUGAAAAGGCAAAUAUGUGAAGGAGCCAAAACUAUAAAUCAGGUAUUUGGGAAGUUAAGACUGGAAGCUUACUUACAUUAAAUUCAGAAAAACUUUUAUACUCUUUCUGUACAUACUUUUUUUAAAAACUAUGACUCAAUCAGGAUAGCCAUUUGGAACACUUUCUGUUACCGGUCAAUAUUUUUAGAUAGAACCUGAUCCUAAGCCUAAUGUGGGCUUGAUUCUGGAAAGUAAAUCUUUUCACAACUGCCUCGAUGCACAGAAACCUUUUUAAAAAUAGACAUUCCCUAAAGUCUUUUGUUCGCAUGGUCACACACUGAUGCUUAAAUGUUCCAGUAUCUAAUAUGGCCACAGUAGUCUUGAUAACCAGUCGUUUUUUUCCAUCUUUAGAAAUGUACACAGGAACACCACAUCCAACAGAUCUCAAGCUACUGUGUGUGUGAAUGAACAUUCCCUUUUGUUUCAUACCUGAAUGCUGUACAUCUAUUUUGGAUUGUAUAUUGAUUGUGUUUGUGUAUUUAUGCUUUGAUUCAUAGUAACUUCUCAUGUUAUGGAAUUGAUUUGCAUUGAACACAAACUGUAAAUAAAAAUAAAUGGCUGAAAGAGCAA